GACGAACGCUGGCGGCGUGCUUAACACAUGCAAGUCGAACGGAAAGGCCCUGCUUUUGUGGGGUGCUCGAGUGGCGAACGGGUGAGUAACACGUGAGUGACCUGCCCUUGACUUUGGGAUAACUUCAGGAAACUGGGGCUAAUACCGGAUAGGAGCUCCUGCUGCAUGGUGGGGGUUGGAAAGUUUCGGCGGUUGGGGAUGGACUCGCGGCUUAUCAGCUUGUUGGUGGGGUAGUGGCUUACCAAGGCUUUGACGGGUAGCCGGCCUGAGAGGGUGACCGGCCACAUUGGGACUGAGAUACGGCCCAGACUCCUACGGGAGGCAGCAGUGGGGAAUAUUGCACAAUGGGCGGAAGCCUGAUGCAGCAACGCCGCGUGCGGGAUGACGGCCUUCGGGCUGUAAACCGCUUUCGCCUGUGACGAAGCGUGAGUGACGGUAAUGGGUAAAGAAGCACCGGCUAACUACGUG
rnacentral:rRNA from 1 species